CCUACGGGAGGCAGCAGUGAGGAAUAUUGGUCAAUGGACGCGAGUCUGAACCAGCCAAGUAGCGUGAGGGAAGACUGCCCUAUGGAUUGUAAACUUCUUUUGUCAGGGAGUAAAACGAGGCACGUGUGCCUUUUUGCGUGUACUUUAUGAAUAAGGAUCGGCUAACUCCGUGCCAGCAGCCGCGGUAAUACGGAGGAUACGAGCGUUAUCCGGAUUUAUUGGGUUUAAAGGGAGCGUAGAUCGGUAGUUAAGUCAGUGGUGAAAGUUGGCGGCCUAACCGUUAAAGUGCAAUUGAGACUGGCAGUCUUGAGUACAGUUGAGGUAGGCGGAAUGCGUGGUGUAGCGGUGAAAUGCUUAGAUAUCACGAAGAACCCCGAUUGUGAAGGCAGCUUACCAAACUGUGACUGACAUUGAUGCUCGAAAGUGUGGGUAUCAAACAGGAUUAGAUACCCGGGUAGUC
rnacentral:rRNA from 1 species